rnacentral:rRNA from 1 species
UAGUCCACGCUGUAAACGAUGAUCACUAGGUGUUCGGAACUUGAUUCUGAGUGCCCAAGCGAAAGCGAUAAGUGAUCCACCUGGGGAGUACGUUCGCAAGAAUGAAACUCAAAGGAAUUGACGGGGGCCCGCACAAGCGGUGGAGCAUGUGGUUUAAUUCGAUGAUACGCGAGGAACCUUACCUGGGCUACAAUGCCUUUGCCAGCCGGUGAAAGCCGGUUUUUCUUCGGACGAUCUGCAAGGUGCUGCAUGGUUGUCGUCAGCUCGUGCCGUGAGGUGUCGGGUUAAGUCCCAUAACGAGCGCAACCCCUAUCUUUAGUUGCCAGCGAGUAAUGUCGGGGACUCUAGAGAAACUGCCCGUGUAAACGGUGAGGAAGGUGGGGAUGACGUCAAAUCAUCACGGCCCUUACGUCUUGGGCUACACACGUGCUACAAUGGUGGAGACAGAGAGUCGCGAACCCGCGAGGGUAAGCUAAUCUUUAAACUUCAUCUCAGUUCGGAUCGGAGUCUGCAA